GCAAAUUACCCAAUCCUGACACAGGGAGGUAGUGACAAGAAAUAACAAUACGGGGCUUGAAGUCUUGUAAUUGGAAUGAUGGGAAUUUAAACCCCUUCCAGAGUAUCAAUUGGAGGGCAAGUCUGGUGCCAGCAGCCGCGGUAAUUCCAGCUCCAAUAGCGUAUAUUAAACUUGUUGCAGUUAAAAAGCUCGUAGUUGAAUUUCUGCUGCAUCGUUGACUGCGUUUGGCGUUUGUCAUUGUUGUGGCUUGGUUGGGUUUCGAUUGUUCGUUUCCCGGCGUUUACUUUGAGAAAAUUAGAGUGCUUGAAGCAGGCUUUUGCCUUGAAUACUUUAGC
rnacentral:rRNA from 1 species